rnacentral:rRNA from 1 species
UACGUAGGGCGCAAGCGUUAUCCGGAAUUAUUGGGCGUAAAGAGCUCGUAGGCGGUUUGUCGCGUCUGCCGUGAAAGUCCGGGGCUCAACUCCGGAUCUGCGGUGGGUACGAGCAGACUAGAGUGAUGUAGGGGAGACUGGAAUUCCUGGUGUAGCGGUGAAAUGCGCAGAUAUCAGGAGGAACACCGGUGGCGAAGGCGGUUCUCUGGGCCUGUACUGACGCUGAGGAGCGAAAGCGUGGGGAGCGAACAGG